UACAGAGGGGGCGAGCGUUGUUCGGAAUUACUGGGUGUAAAGGGUGCGUAGGCGGUCGGCUAAGUCUGAUGUGAAAUCCCCAGGCUCAACUUGGGAACUGCAUCCGAUACUGGAUGGCUUGAAUUCGGGAGAGGGAUGCAGAAUUCCAGGUGUAGCGGUGAAAUGCGUAGAUAUCUGGAGGAAUACCGGUGGCGAAGGCGGCAUCCUGGACCGACAUUGACGCUGAGGAGCGAAAGCUAGGGGAGCAAACGGG
rnacentral:rRNA from 1 species